GAUGAACGCUGGCGGCGUGCCUAAUACAUGCAAGUCGAGCGAAUGGAUUAAGAGCUUGCUCUUAUGAAGUUAGCGGCGGACGGGUGAGUAACACGUGGGUAACCUGCCCAUAAGACUGGGAUAACUCCGGGAAACCGGGGCUAAUACCGGAUAACAUUUUGAACCGCAUGGUUCGAAAUUGAAAGGCGGCUUCGGCUGUCACUUAUGGAUGGACCCGCGUCGCAUUAGCUAGUUGGUGAGGUAACGGCUCACCAAGGCAACGAUGCGUAGCCGACCUGAGAGGGUGAUCGGCCACACUGGGACUGAGACACGGCCCAGACUCCUACGGGAGGCAGCAGUAGGGAAUCUUCCGCAAUGGACGAAAGUCUGACGGAGUAACGCCGCGUGAGUGAGGAAGGCUUUCGGGUCGUAAAACUCUGUUGUUAGGGAAGAACAAGUGCUAGUUGAAUAAGCUGACACCUUGACGGUACCUAACCAGAAAGCCACGGCUAACUACGUGCCAGCCGCCGCUGUAA
rnacentral:rRNA from 1 species